GAGCCGUGUCCCCGCGUGGCCUCGCAGGUCGCCCCGGGGCUCUGCGACGUCGCCGCGUCCCCUUAGCCGCGGUUUCCCCGGGCUGUGAGGGCAGGAGGAGGGCGCUCAGGAGGUAGAGCCCGUGUUGUCACCUACCCAGAAUCAUACCCAGGUACAGUCUCCAAAGCUGAGCAGUGAACUGCAUUGGCAGAGGAUGGGCAAAGCUGGAAUGAAGGUAACACCAGUUCUCCAAUAAACCUCAUGGGAGAAGAGCUGUAGGGUAUCCAGAAACCUCCAUCCUGGUGGGUAAGCGAACCACCUCCGUCCUGAACAUCCCCUGAGGAUUUUACAGUGCAUUCCUCGUCUCUUGCUGGUGAAGCCACUGCUGGUGUUGAGCUUUAAUGCCUUUAAGUCUGUACCACAAAAACGUCAGUGAGCCUUUCCUACCAUCUGAUCGUGUGUUGGAGAGCAGCAGUUUGGUGCAUUUUCAGAUUGGGCAUCGUGCUUAACGUCCUUUUGAUUCCAGCCUGUCUUCCAGCGUGUUCAAAACUCACACUUGCUUCUCCCAUUGAGUUGCAUCAAGAUAAAACAAGUGGAAUUUAUCAGAUCUUACCAUCACCAGACAACGCCGUGGAGGCAGCAGACAUUCAGAUGCAGAUCAGAGAGAGCGUUUCAUCUGCAUGCACGUUAUUUGACUGAAGUGAACUGGUUUGAGAACUGGCAUUAAAAUACCAACACUGGCAGUUAAUGCUCCAGCCUUUGAACAGCAGCAGGCAGCUUCAGAGGAAGGGCAGGGCUGGUGGCAGCACCACCACUGCUGUUUGCUCAUACAGCUCUGACUGCUCUCUGUACUCACCAUCCUCCAAGUAAAGACACAGGAGCCAAAUUGGCUCCAAG
rnacentral:lncRNA from 7 species